rnacentral:rRNA from 1 species
CUUCCUACGGGGGGCAGCAGUGAGGAAUAUUGGUCAAUGGCCGAGAGGCUGAACCAGCCAAGUCGCGUGAGGGAAGACGGCCCUACGGGUUGUAAACCUCUUUUGUCGGGGAGCAAAGAGAGUCACGUGUGACUCAUUGAGAGUACCCGAAGAAAAAGCAUCGGCUAACUCCGUGCCAGCAGCCGCGGUAAUACGGAGGAUGCGAGCGUUAUCCGGAUUUAUUGGGUUUAAAGGGUGCGCAGGCGGAGGUGCAAGUCAGCGGUCAAAUUGCGGGGCUCAACUCCGUACUGCCGUUGAAACUGCAU